AACGAACGCUGGCGGCAUGCCUAACACAUGCAAGUCGAACGAGACCUCCGGGCUUAGUGGCGCACCGGUGCGUACCGAGUGGGAACCAGCACUUAGGUACCCUACCCCUCCCUGAAAGGUAUCUUCAUAAAGCAUAAUGUAAUCCCACCAAAGAUCUGUCGCUUCUGGAUGGGCGCGCGUUGGAUUAGCUAGUUGGUAGUGUAAAAGCCUAUCAAGGCGACGAUCCAUAGCUGGUCUGAGAGGAUGAUCAGGCACACUGGGACUGAGACACGGCCCAGACUCCUACGGGAGGCAGCAGUGGGGAAUAUUGGACAAUGGGCGAAAGCCUGAUCCAGCAAUGCCGCGUGAGUGAUGAAGGCCUUAGGGUUGUAAAGCUCUUUUACCCGGGAUGAUAAUGACAGUACCGGGAGAAUAAGCUCCGGCUAACUCCGUG
rnacentral:rRNA from 1 species